rnacentral:piRNA from 1 species
UAGUAAUGCACUCACCAAUAUUCA